UUUUUUUUUUUUUUUUUGUCUUUUUAGGGCUGCACUGGUGGCAUAUGGGAGUUCCCAGGCUAGGGGUCUUCCUGGGGUAGGGGUUGAAUCAGAGCUGCAGCUACUGGUCUACACCACAGCCAUAGCAAUGCCAGAGUCCAGCAGCGUCUGCGACCUACACCACAGCUCCACAGUGAUGCCAGAUCCUUAACCCACUGAGCGAGGCCAGGGAUCGACCAUGUGUCCUCGUGGAUACUAGUAGGAUUCGUUCCCACGGAGCCACCAUGGGAACUCCACAAUUUGUUUUCUGAUCACCAGACCUAAUAAAGGGCAUUUCCUAGAAAUUAAUCAGCUGAGGAAGAGUUGCAAGGGUUUGGUUGGGUUCUGAGUGGUUGUUUUGACUAGAGACACAUGGGCUCUUGUUAAAAAGUGAAAUUUCCAGAGCUUUCCCAAGCCCUAGUGGAUUUCCUGCCCCUUGGCCCUUGUGUUUAUACCAACCAGGUUGUUUACACCAACCUGAGGGCCAGUUCGGGGCCACCAUUUUCCUAAAAAACUUCAUUCCUUUACCCUCUAAGUCCUUGCUCUUUCUGGAAUUUCCUUCAUUUGUCAGAUUUAGCAAAUAAAAAUACAGAAUGUCCAGUUCAAUUUGAGCUUCAGAUGAACAGCAAAUGUUUUCAGGGGUUCUUCCAGUUGCUGAGUAUAUCUGUUCCAAUUAUGCCUGCCAGAACUGGGAAAUAACCACAGGAUGGGUUCAUGGAUUCACUAGACCCACUGUGAAAUGGACCUGAACUAAAACUUUUUUUUUUUGCAAAUUUUAGUUUUUUUUUUUUUAAUGAAUAUACAAACUUUGAGCUCCCUGAAAGUAGAAAAAAAAUGGUUGUGUGUUUUUUUUGUUUGUUUGUUUUUGUUUUUUAAUUAUAGUUGAGGAGUUCCCAUCCUGGCUCAGUGGUUAACAUACUUGACUAGGAUCCAUGAGGACACAGGUUCUAUCCCUGGCCUCGCUUAGUGGGUUAAGGACUCAGCGUUGCCGUGAGCUGUGGUGUAGGUCACAGAUGCAGCUCCAGUCCCACGUUGCUGUGGCUGUGGUGUAGGCUGGCAGCUGUAGCUCCAACUGGACCCCUAGCCUGGGAACCUCCAUAUGCCGCCAGUGCGGCCCUAGAAAUAAAUAAAUAAAUAAUUGUUUUACAGUAUUGUGCCUAUUUCUGCUGCACAGCAAAGUGACACAGUCAUCCAUACAUAUACAUUCUCUUUUUUAUAUUAUCUUCCAUCAUGUUCUAUCCUAAGAGUCUGGAUAUAGUUCCCUGUCUAUACAGUAGGACCUCAUUGCUUAUCCAUUCUAAAUGCAAUAGUUUGCAUCUACGAACCCCAAACUCCCAGUCCCACUCCCUCCCUCUUCCCCCUUGGCAACCAGAAGUCUGCUGAACUAAAAUUUUUGAUUGAGAGUCCGACCUCCAUAAGCCCCUGCUCUGACUGGUGGACCACAGUGACAUCUUGGGCCCCCUGGAAUUAGCGUCACUUCAGAGCUAGUGUCCAGUAUCCCCAGGUGAUCGGACUGUUUCUUUUUUCUAAUGCACUGUCACCCUGAUAAAAGGCUGAGUGUCCCUUUGGGGAGGGCUGGGAGAGAAGUUCACUGUAGAAGUUCCUGGCAGGGUAGCAUGGUCCUUCCUCAAGGGACCCAGCCUCUCUCCCUUUCAUUCAAAGCAUUCUGGGUCUGUUAACUGACGCAAGUCUGGACAUUGGUGGGGGGGGGGGCCUGACUCUCUGUUUUGGCGAUUUCAAGUGAAAUUUCUGUUCACUUGACCUAAAAUUCUUCUGCUUGUACAGAUGAAGCAUUUAGCAGAUGGCCCAUCUGUUUAUUUUCUAGUUACUCUGUGAUCAGGAGAUAACACCAUACAUCUCUGUGAGUCAGACUAUUCUGAUUACUGUUUUGACUCGCAGUCCAUUAUGGUAAUCACACCCACCUUGCUUUGGGUGCCUAUAAGCACUGUUAUUUGGUCCCAGACACCCAGGAUCCAAUUAUCCCCAUUGCAUUUAGGGAUCCCAGCUUAGUAGUCAUAGUUCCCACUGUGAUUUCUGAUACACAGAGAAGAGGGAGCACAGACCUCUUCAAGGAUGCUGGCGCUCCUUCACAAAUGUAUUUCUCAUGGUCAUGGUGACUGUCCCAGGGCAGAUGGGCAAGUCUUACACAAUAAAUCCACUCUGACAUUCCAACCUCCCUAAGCCUUUGAAUGCCUUCCUCUACCAUCCUCUGCAGGAUAUCAAAGCAGUCCUGGCAUUUCAGCUUCCCUUAGUGUAGGCUGCCUUUUGCUCCAUGUUUCAGCCAACCAAUCAGCCAGCCAGCCAACCAACCAACCAGUCAGGCAACCAGCCAACCAGCCAACCAAACAACCAACCAACCAACCAACCAACCAACCAACCAGCCAUCCAUCCAUCCAACCAGCCAACCAACAAGCCAUCCAACCAACCAACCAACCAGUCAACCAAUCAACCAAUGAAAUCAUUAGGACCCUUUCUGAUACCCCCAAGUUGCAACAUUAAAUCUAGAAUUUCUACUUAGUGGGCUCAUACAAAUAAAUUUGGCCUGAUCCAACUUCAGAUUCCUUCCAGCAUUAUCCCACACCCUCAAUAGCCAUUCCCACACAUAAUCCCCAGGUUUCUGUCCGUAGGUUGUAAAAACCAUCCAGUUCAUUUGAAAUGCAGUGCCCAUCUUCAUAGGUCACAUUUUUGUACCUCAUUCUUUGGAACCUGCUGGGACUUGAGUCUAGUUACAGGUCUAGAAGCAAAAAGGGGUGGGGCGGUGGGUCUUAAGGAAGAUCAACAAUGUUUUGCAAGGGGAAAUGACUAGAGUUUCUUUCAGCAAAGCAGGGUUAACCUCCUCAGACCAGGAUGGGGUGGGGUGGGCAGGAGAAGGAGGGAGGGCUGUCCCUACUGGCAAAGGAGACUCAGCUAAGUGUAGGGGACCCAUGUCCCCAGACUCACCGGGAUCUGACCAAACGUCCUCAUUCCAAUUUUCAGGAUUUCCUUCCUUUCUCAUGAAUGACUCACUUUUUUGGUCUUUUUUUUAGGGCCACACCCAUGGCAUAUGGAGGUUCCCAGGCUAGGGAUCCAGUCGGAGCUGUAGCUGCCGGCCUACGCCAAAGCCACAGCAACUCGAGGUCUGAGCCUCGUCUUCGACCUACACCACAGCUCAAGGCAACACCAGAGCCUUAACCCACUGAGCAAGGCCAGGGAUUGAACUUGCAAGCUCACGGGUCCUAGUUGGAUUUGUUUCCACUGCGCCAUGACGGGAACUCCAUGAAUGAUUCACUUUAACAGCAGAUUCCUGGAGGUUGUGCGUUCAGUUUGUUUUGUAAUCUAAUAACUCUCAAGAUGAGACUGGGAGUUCCCUGGUGGUUUAGCAGGUUAAGGAUACAGCAUUGUCAUCGCUGUGGCUCUGUUUGCAGCUGUGGUAUAGUGUCAGUCCCUGGCCUGGGAACUCCCACAUGCCACAGGUGAGAC
rnacentral:lncRNA from 1 species